CUCGUAGGCGGUUCGUCGCGUCUGGUGUGAAAGUCCAUCGCUUAACGGUGGAUCUGCGCCGGGUACGGGCGGGCUGGAGUGCGGUAGGGGAGACUGGAAUUCCCGGUGUAACGGUGGAAUGUGUAGAUAUCGGGAAGAACACCAAUGGCGAAGGCAGGUCUCUGGGCCGUUACUGACGCUGAGGAGCGAAAGCGUGGGGAGCGAACA
rnacentral:rRNA from 1 species